UACGUAGGGUGCAAGCGUUUAUCCGGAAUUAUUGGGCGUAAAGAGCUCGUAGGCGGUUUGUCGCGUCUGCUGUGAAAACUGGGGGCUCAACCCCCCAGCCUGCAGUGGGUACGGGCAGACUAGAGUGCGGUAGGGGAGAUUGGAAUUCCUGGUGUAGCGGUGGAAUGCGCAGAUAUCAGGAGGAACACCGAUGGCGAAGGCAGGUCUUUGGGCCACUACUGACGCUGAGAAGCGGAAAGCAUGGGGAGCGAACAGG
rnacentral:rRNA from 1 species